rnacentral:rRNA from 1 species
CCUACGGGUGGCUGCAGUGAGGAAUAUUGGUCAAUGGACGAGAGUCUGAACCAGCCAAGUAGCGUGAAGGAUGACUGCCCUAUGGGUUGUAAACUUCUUUUAUAAAGGAAUAAAACGAGGCACGUGUGCCUUUUUGUAUGUACUUUAUGAAUAAGGAUCGGCUAACUCCGUGCCAGCAGCCGCGGUAAUACGGAGGAUCCGAGCGUUAUCCGGAUUUAUUGGGUUUAAAGGGAGCGUAGAUGGGUUGUUAAGUCAGUUGUGAAAGUUUGCGGCUCAACCGUAAAAUUGCAAUUGAUACUGGCAGUCUUGAGUACAGUUGAGGUAGGCGGAAUUCGUGGUGUAGCGGGGAAAUGCUUAGAUAUCACGAAGAACCCCGAUUGCGAAGGCAGCUUACUAGACUGUAACUGACAUUGAUGCUCGAAAGUGUGGGUAUCAAACAGGAUUAGAUACCCGGGUAGUC